CAGUAGCCGCGGUAAUACGUAGGUGGCAAGCGUUGUCCGGAAUUAUUGGGCGUAAAGGGCUCGCAGGCGGUUUCUUAAGUCUGAUGUGAAAGCCCCCGGCUCAACCGGGGAGGGUCAUUGGAAACUGGGAAACUUGAGUGCAGAAGAGGAGAGUGGAAUUCCACGUGUAGCGGUGAAAUGCGUAGAGAUGUGGAGGAACACCAGUGGCGAAGGCGACUCUCUGGUCUGUAACUGACGCUGAGGAGCGAAAGCGUGGGGAGCGAACAGGAUUAGAUACCCGAGUAGUCCCUGUCUCUUAUAC
rnacentral:rRNA from 1 species